rnacentral:rRNA from 1 species
CAGCCGCCACGGGAAUACGAAGGGUGCAAGCGUUACUCGGAAUUACUGGGCGUAAAGCGUGCGUAGGUGGUGGUUUAAGUCCGUUGUGAAAGCCCUGGGCUCAACCUGGGAAUUGCAGUGGAUACUGGGUCACUAGAGUGCGGUAGAGGAUAGUGGAAUUUCCGGUGUAGCAGUGAAAUGCGUAGAGAUCGGAAGGAACAUCUGUGGCGAAGGCGACUAUCUGGGCCAACACUGACACUGAGGCACGAAAGCGUGGGGAGCAAACAGGAUUAGAUACCCCAGUAGUCCCUGUCUCUUAUAC